GACAGAGGCCUCGGGCGUUAGGCGGAAUCACUGGGCUUAAAGCGCGUGUAGGCGGAGAUUUAAGUGCCUUGUGAAAUCCCACGGCUCAACCGUGGAACUGCUGGGCAUACUGGAUUUCUUGAGCCACCCAGGGGUCGCCGGAACAAGCGGUGGAGCGGUGAAAUGCGUAGAUAUCGCUUGGAACGCCAAAGGUGAAGACAGGCGACUGGGGGUGUGCUGACGCUGAGACGCGAAAGCCAGGGGAGCAAACGGG
rnacentral:misc_RNA from 1 species